GAUAAUAUAUUUAACUUUUUAAAAAAGUGCAAAAAUAACCAAUCAUUUUACUUCUUAAUUUUCAACACCAAAAUUUAUGGCUAACACAACAAAUUUGAACAUUAUAUUUGAAGCACUUUCACUCAUUCCCAAGAUUCAUUUUGUUGAAAAAAUUCAAAAAAAGUCAAAAAGAUUCAACAUUUUGUCCAAAAAAAAUCAAGAAGUUGAAGAAAAUUUACAAAUAAAAACUACAAGAAGACUAGCAUUAAGCAUUGGUAUAAUUGCUACAUUUGCAAAUUCAAGAAUUGGAGAUUGCCUUGCUGAUGAUAAUAAUGGAUUUUUUAUCAAUGGUCCAUUGCCAGUCCCUUCAGUAUCCAAUGACAUUAUAAACAAGGAGACAGGUACAAGAUCAUUUCUCAAGAAAGGAAUGUACAUUGCUAACAUUGGAACGAAAGGGAGAAUUCAUAGACUAAAAAGAUAUGCAUUUGAUCUAUUGGCAUUAGGGGAUUUGAUUGGAACAGAUGCUUGGAAUUAUGUGAGGAAGUAUUUGAGGAUUAAGUCUACCUUCAUGUACUAUGAUUUCGAUGAAGUUAUUACUGCUGCAGAAGUGAAUGAUAAGCAACCUCUUACUGAUCUUGCUAAUCGAUUAUUCGACAAUGUUGAGAAGGAUCUGAUGACAUAUGUUAACCGGUCCAGACAGUAUUUUUCAAGUGUCUGAGCAACAUAGGUUUUGAAGGAUCUGAUAUAUGUUCACUGGUCGAGACAGUAUGUUUCAAGUGUCCGAGCAACAUAGCUUGAAGAUGCUGUGAAGAAAAAGAACCUGCCUCAAACACAGACAUGUUAUCAAGAAACAACAAACAUUCUCCAAGAAGUCAUGGACAAAAUGGCAUAAACCAAAACACAUGUUUUAUAUUCUGUUGUCAUGUGGAAAGUAGUCAUUUUGCUUACAGCAAAACAAAAUGUUUCUUGUAAAUUAUGAAUACUGUCAAAGAACACUUUGUUGGAAAUUCAAAAUGAACAUGUCAAAAAUAA